rnacentral:rRNA from 1 species
GAUGAACGCUGGCGGCGUGCCUAAUACAUGCAAGUCGAGCGAACGGACGAGAAGCUUGCUUCUCUGAUGUUAGCGGCGGACGGGUGAGUAACACGUGGAUAACCUACCUAUAAGACUGGGAUAACUUCGGGAAACCGUAGCUAAUACCGGAUAAUAUUUUGAACCGCAUGGUUCAAAAGUGAAAGACGGUCUUGCUGUCACUUAUAGAUGGAUCCGCGCUGCAUUAGCUAGUUGGUAAGGUAACGGCUUACCAAGGCAACGAUGCAUAGCCGACCUGAGAGGGUGAUCGGCCACACUGGAACUGAGACACGGUCCAGACUCCUACGGGAGGCAGCAGUAGGGAAUCUUACGCAAUGGGCGAAAGCCUGACGGAGCAACGCCGCGUGAGUGAUGAAGGUCUUCGGAUCGUAAAACCCUGUUAUUAGGGAAGAACAUAUGUGUAAGUAACUGUGCACAUCUUGACGGUACCUAAUCAGAAAGCCACGGCUAACUACGUG